rnacentral:rRNA from 1 species
UACGUAGGCAGCGAGCGUUGUUCGGAGUUACUGGGCGUAAAGGGUGUGUAGGCGGUUGUUUAAGUUUGGUGUGAAAUCUCCCGGCUCAACUGGGAGGGUGCGCCGAAUACUGAGCGACUAGAGUGCGGGAGAGGAAAGUGGAAUUCCUGGUGUAGCGGUGAAAUGCGCAGAUAUCAGGAGGAACACCAGUGGCGAAGGCGACUACCUGGCCUGUUCUUGACGCUGAGGCGCGAAAGCUAGGGGAGCAAACGGG